GGGUGCCUGGUGCGAUCGAUCUGUUUUUCGGAUUUUUUUGUGGCAUUUUAUCGAACAGAUAAUUGGUCUAUGUUUUGAGUGGACAUUGGAUGGCCAGGAAGGAUCAGGUGACGACAAAACUAGGGUGUUGGUGGCCGCCGGCAAAGAUUACCUAAGAUCCAUCGUGGCAAACAGUGCUGACAUUAUUAUGACUUAUUUUCGAUGGGAUAGUCGGCUGGAAGUCGAGUUAUUGUAUUUGAAUGGUGAACGAUCGAAAACUUAAAAAAAAAUUUACUUAUUUAAAAUUAUCCAACGAGAGACCUUAUAAUAUUUUAGUUAGCAAGAAAAAGAGAACAAUCAGAGAAAGCUCAAUACGAGAGCGAAAAUUUAUAUUCAGAAAGCUUACCUGAUCUUCCAUUGCUUAUCGAUAUUUAUAAGAUAGAUGAUGCCGUUACUGUAUAACUCUCAUCUCUGAGUAUUCGGAACAUAAGAAUUAUAGCAUUUAGCGGACGAUUACUCCAUUAAUUGCCAUUAAAAUCGAGCAAUGGGCUACUCGUGGGUGACAAUUACACUAUAUGUUCGUNNNNNNNNNNNNNNNNNNNNUAAUAUUUUUUAUGAUAUUUUGUUUAAAUUUAUUUAAAUUUAUCAUUUCAAAUUAUAAUUUCAGUUUUCUUUUAUUUUUAUCUUUUUAGUCAUCAUUGGAUGGCCAGGAAGGAUCAGGUGACGACAAAACUAGGGUGCUGGUGGCCGCCGGCAAAGAUUACCUAAGAUCCAUCGUGGCAAACAGUGCUGACAUUAUUAUGACUUAUUUUCGAUGGGAU
rnacentral:lncRNA from 1 species